AGUCGGACGGAGUUAUUUUGGCAGAAGCCUUCGGGUGGACGCUGAUAUAACUUAGUGGCGAACGGGUGAGUAACACGUGAGCAACCUGCCCUUCAGAGGGGGACAACAGUUGGAAACGACUGCUAAUACCGCAUAAGACCACGGUGUGGCAUCACACAGAGGUCAAAGGAGAAAUCCGCUGAAGGAUGGGCUCGCGUCCAAUUAGCUAGAUGGUGAGGUAACGGCCCACCAUGGCGACGAUUGGUAGCCGGACUGAGAGGUUGAUCGGCCACAUUGGGACUGAGACACGGCCCAGACUCCUACGGGAGGCAGCAGUGGGGAAUAUUGCACAAUGGAGGAAACUCUGAUGCAGCGACGCCGCGUGAGGGAAGAAGGUCUUCGGAUUGUAAACCUCUGUUGUCAGGGACGAUAAUGACGGUACCUGACGAGGAAGCCACGGCUAACUACGUGCCAGCAGCCGCGGUAAAACGUAGGUGGCAAGCGUUGUCCGGAAUUACUGGGUGUAAAGGGAGCGCAGGCGGGAGAGCAAGUUGGAAGUGAAAUCUGUGGGCUCAACUCACAAAUUGCUUUCAAAACUGUUUUUCUUGAGUGGUGUAGAGGUAGGCGGAAUUCCCGGUGUAGCGGUGGAAUGCGUAGAUAUCGGGGAGGAACACCAGUGGCGAAGG
rnacentral:rRNA from 1 species